rnacentral:rRNA from 1 species
AGCGGCGGACGGGUGAGUAACACGUGGGUAACCUGCCCAAGAGACUGGGAUAACACCUGGAAACAGAUGCUAAUACCGGAUAACAACACUAGACGCAUGUCUAGAGCUUGAAAGAUGGUUCUGCUAUCACUCUUGGAUGGACCUGCGGUGCAUUAGCUAGUUGGUAAGGUAACGGCUUACCAAGGCAAUGAUGCAUAGCCGAGUUGAGAGACUGAUCGGCCACAUUGGGACUGAGACACGGCCCAAACUCCUACGGGAGGCAGCAGUAGGGAAUCUUCCACAAUGGACGAAAGUCUGAUGGAGCAACGCCGCGUGAGUGAAGAAGGGUUUCGGCUCGUAAAGCUCUGUUGGUAGUGAAGAAAGAUAGAGGUAGUAACUGGCCUUUAUUUGACGGUAAUUACUUAGAAAGUCACGGCUAACUACGUGCCAGCAGCCGCGGUAAUACGUAGGUGGCAAGCGUUGUCCGGAUUUAUUGGGCGUAUAGCGAGUGCAGGCGGUUCAACAAGUCUGAUGUGAAAGCCUUCGGCUCAACCGGAGAAUUGCAUCAGAAACUGUUGAACUUGAGUGCAGAAGAGGAGAGUGGAACUCCAUGUGUAGCGGUGGAAUGCGUAGAUAUAUGGAAGAACACCAGUGGCGAAGGCGGCUCUCUGGUCUGCAACUGACGCUGAGGCUCGAAAGCAUGGGUAGCGAACAGGAUUAGAUACCCUGGUAGUCCAUGCCGUGAACGAUGAGUGCUAAGUGU